GUAGCCACAGAGGUAUUUUCAAGGACAAGAACCAGUGCUGGUAAAACUGUGGUCUCUGUGGUUUUCCAUACCGGCUCUCGGCAAGGAUUUUCAAGAAAGGAAUACCAUCUCCAAAUCAUGAUGUGCCAAUAAGCUCCAGUUAGCUGCGGCCUUUUCCCCAGGCGGUAGUCCUGCAAUCUGAAUCCAGGAGAUGCAGCUCUGAAUCCAAUAUUUCAGAAGAAUGAAGAUGAAGCAGACCCAGGAGGAACUGUCUGUUGAAGGCCCCCCCCCCCCC